GAUGAACGCUGGCGGCGUGCCUAAUACAUGCAAGUCGAGCGAACAGACGAGGAGCUUGCUCCUCUGACGUUAGCGGCGGACGGGUGAGUAACACGUGGAUAACCUACCUAUAAGACUGGGAUAACUUCGGGAAACAGGAGCUAAUACCGGAUAACAUGUUGAACCGCAUGGUUUAACAGUGAAAGACGGUCUUGCUGUCACUUAUAGAUGGAUCCGCGCCGCAUUAGCUAGUUGGUAAGGUAACGGCUUACCAAGGCAACGAUGCGUAGCCGACCUGAGAGGGUGAUCGGCCACACUGGAACUGAGACACGGUCCAGACUCCUACGGGAGGCAGCAGUAGGGAAUCUUCCGCAAUGGGCGAAAGCCUGACGGAGCAACGCCGCGUGAGUGAAGAAGGUCUUCGGAUCGUAAAACUCUGUUAUUAGGGAAGAACAAAUGUGUAAGUAACUAUGCACGUCUUGACGGUACCUAAUCAGAAAGCCACGGCUAACUACGUG
rnacentral:rRNA from 1 species